rnacentral:sRNA from 1 species
AUUCUGCCCGUGCAGGGAAGGAUGAGAAGCUUCGACCAGGGUUCGAUUCGAGCGCAGCGAGAAAGCGUUGCCGCAGGCAACGACCCGAAGGGCGAAGCGCUACGCGCUGAGUCAUCCUUCCCCCGCCACCA